UAUGAUAUAUAAAGAUAAAGUAAAACAUUAAUAAAAAAACAUAGGAAAACAGAAAAAGCAUGCAAACAGACGAAUAAAUGCUAACCUAGAAUUAACUAGAUUAGUCCCUAGCUGAGUCGUUAAUUAUCGUGGCACGGAAAAUGUUUGGGCGUAACGAAUGCUUGAAAUACAACAUAUUCGCCACUGAAGUUUAUUUAUUCAAAAAAGAAAGAGAAAAUAUCGAUAAAACCCUAAAAAAUAGUCGUCGCAAUCAAAUUUGGAUUUAGGAGUCGGUUAUGCGAGGGGAAGGUAUUA
rnacentral:lncRNA from 1 species